GCGAAAGUGGCGGAACUGGCAGACGCGCCGGCCUUAGGAGCCGGUGCCGCAAGGCGUGGGGGUUCAAAUCCCCCCUUUCGCACCC
rnacentral:tRNA from 1 species